AGAACAUUUAAGAUAAAGGGAAACUAUAAACAAAAGAAAUUAUCAACAAAAAUAGAUUUACAGACGUCAACAAAGCCUAAAUGGUCAGACAUCUUGGUUUUCAUGAUCAUCAUUCAACAGGUCAAUACUGAACAGCAAACUUAAAGUUGAUAUUUUUCUACAUAGUGUGACUUUUUUAUUAAUUUGAAAUGGAAUGUGUUUUUUUUUCCUACAUAAGAAAGAGGAAAUUUCAACAUAAUGACUAUAAACAAAAAGGAGUCAUAUCAUCAUGAUCAUAGAUGCUCAAGAACUUAAUCAUGUAAAUGCAACAACGUAAUUAUCAAUUGAAAGAAGGGAGGAAUGAAAAAAUAUAUUAGUAUUUUGUUGUCCAAAUGAACUUGCUUUGUCCACUCAUUUAAAUCGCUCCAUCCAAUAAAGAUGUACGGAGGAAGAUUUUUGAAGAACAGAUUGCAAAAAUGUUUUGUCUAAGAAUUGUAGGAACAUUCUAGUGGAUGAAAUAAUUUAUUUACUUGACUCUUUUAUAGUGGACUGAAUAAUUGUUCAUAGCAAGCUGAAACAAGAAAACUAAAACUUAACAGGAAAAGUGUUUAUUUUAUAAAUUUACAAAUAUAAAUGUAAUAUUAUGAACACCACAAAGGAAUAAGAUUCAAAUCGUUUGCAUAUUCAUGUAUUGCAAUGGAACUAUAACAAAGAAAACUUUACCUCAUGAAAAGAGUAAACUAUUAACUGUGCUUUGUCAAUUUAUUCAGUCAGAAUAUGAAAUAUUUUUUUCAGUUCUAUUUUUCAUAAUAAAACAAAGAAGACAAAGAU